AUUGAACGCUGGCGGCAUGCCUAACACAUGCAAGUCGAGCGAGAGGCGGACGGGUGGAUAAUGUAUGGAGAUCUGCCCGAUCGAGGGGUAUAACUACUGGAACCGGUGGCUAAUACCGCAUACCCUCAGAUUCACCCAUCUGGGAGUAGCUAUUAGGUAAGGUAACGGCUUACCUAGGCGACGAUCCAUAGCUGGUCUGAGAGGAUGAUCAGCCACACUGGGACUGAGACACGGCCCAGACUCCUACGGGAGGCAGCAGUGGGGAAUAUUGCACAAUGGGCGCAAGCCUGAUGCAGCCAUGCCGCGUGUAUGAAGAAGGCCUUCGGGUUGUAAAGCACUUUUAGUAGAGAGGCGUUAUCUAAAGAAGAAGCACCGGCUAACUCCGUGCCAGCAGCCGCGGUAAUUC
rnacentral:rRNA from 1 species